UACGUAGGGGGCGAGCGUUGUCCGGAGUUACUGGGCGUAAAGCGCACGCAGGCGGUGCUGCGCGUUUGGGGUUACAGCUCCCGGCUCAACCGGGAGAGCGCCUCGAAGACGGCAGCACUUGAGGGCCAGAGAGGGAUACGGAACUCCGGGUGGAGUGGUGAAAUGCGUAGAUAUCCGGAAGAACACCAAAGGCGAAGGCAGUGUCCUGGCUGGUACCUGACGCUCAGGUGCGAAAGCUAGGGGAGCGAACGGG
rnacentral:rRNA from 1 species